GACGAACGCUGGCGGCGUGCUUAACACAUGCAAGUCGAGCGGUAAGGCCCUUUCGGGGGUACACGAGCGGCGAACGGGUGAGUAACACGUGGGUGACCUGCCCUUAGCUCUGGGAUAAGCCUGGGAAACUGGGUCUAAUACCGGAUAUGACUCCAUGACGCAUGUUGUGGGGUGGAAAGCCUUGUGCGGCUAGGGAUGGGCCCGCGGCCUAUCAGCUUGUUGGUGGGGUGAUGGCCACCAAGGCGACGACGGGUAGCCGGCCCGACGAGGGCGACCGGCCACACUGGGACUGAGACACGGCCCAGACUCCUACGGGAGGCAGCAGUGGGGAAUCUUGCGCAAUGGGCGAAAGCCUGACGCAGCGACGCCGCGUGGGGAUGACGGCCUCGG
rnacentral:rRNA from 1 species